GCCUGGGUGGCUCAGUCGGUUAAGCGUCUGACUUCGGCUCGGGUCAUGAUCUCGUGGUUGGUGAGUUCGAGCCUCGCAUCAGGCU
rnacentral:tRNA from 1 species